GAUCCCCUCGAGUUGGUCAAUUGAAAAGUAGCCCGCCUGCAGAAAAAGUGUGGGCACCCCUGCUCUAGAUUAUUCCUGAGCAUGUACCGUGUACAACCAUGUCCUUUCUGACGAAAGCUUUACCAAAACUGGACGCUGUGAGAAGGAAUAUUGCUUAUCUAUGCCAGUAAAUGAUGGAAGUAAAGGAGUGUAUCGAUUCGAGGAGGAAAAAAAGAAAAGAAAAACAACACUUUUGUUAAGGCAUGGACUCUUUUUGGAAAAAGACGCAUGAACUAUUUGACAAACAUCUCUCGCUUGGUUCUCAUGAAGGUUGUGGAGAUAGCUUAGCCAAAUACUGUAUGAAGGAGCAGUGGUGCAAUGUUCCACUGGAUCAUGUUUACUUCCUUUCUCUCUGCCAAUCGUAUUUUUUGCAUUCUUUGACGAUCGACAUACCGUAUUUCCUUGAAUUGCCGCCGGGGCGCUAAUUAAUUUAAAACCUCUUCUCACUCCUGCGUUUACCGAAGGCAUGCGGUAAAAGUAAGCAUGCGCUAAUUAAUUUAAAACCUCUUCUCACUCCGGCGCUUACCAAAGGCAUGCGGUAAAAGUAAGCAUGCGCUAAUUCAAAACCUCUUCUCACUCCGGCGCUUACCAAAGGCAUGCGGUAAAAGUAAGCAUGCGCUAAUUAUUUUAAAACCUUUUCUCACUCCGGCGCUUACUAAAGGCAUGAAGUAAAAGUAAGCAUGCGCUAAUCGAUUUACAACCUCUUCUCACUCCUGCGCUUACCAAAGGCCUGGAGUAAAAGUAAGCAUGCGCUAAUAUUUUGAAACCUUUUCUCAGUCCUGCGCUUACCAAACGCAUGCGGUAAAAGUAAGCAUGCGCUAAUUCAAAACCUCUUCUUACUCCGGCGCUUACCAAAGGCAUGGAGUAAAAGUAAGCAUGCGCUAAUUAUUUUAAAACCUAUUCUCAGUCCUACGCUUACCAAAGGCAUGCGGUAAAAGUAAGCAUGCGCUAAUUAUUUUAAAACCUCUUCUCACUCCGGCGCUUACCAAAGGCAUGCAGUAAAAGUAAGCAUGCGCUAAUUAUUUUGAAACCUUUUCUCAGUCGUGCGCUUACCAAAGGCAUGAAGUAAAAGUAAGCAUGCGCUAAUUAUUUUAAAACCUCUUCUCACUCCUGCGCUUACCAAAGGCAUGCAGUAAAAGUAAGCAUGCGCUAAUUAUUUUGAAACCUUUUCUCAGUCCUGCCCUUACCAAAGGCAUGAAGUAAAAGUAAGCAUGCGCUAAUUAAUUCACAACCUCUUCUCACUCCUGCGCUUACCAAAGGCAUGCGGUAAAAGUAAGCAUGCGAUAAUUAAUUUAAAAACUCUUCUCACUCCGGCACUUACCAAAGGCGUGCAAUAAAAAUUUGAGUGUGAUGUAAGCCUGGACCUUAAAUCCUACUGAAUAGCUCUAAAUCUUCUUCCCUUUAUGCGAUUUCAAACUACCGGUAUUGAAAUCAGCCUCCUCCGUUUUGAAAAUGAUGACAGGGGAAGUGUCACUCGUGAUGUUAUUUUGCGACGCGAGUUCGACCCGGCAGUAUAUGCCCUAUAUGCCCUGCAGCAAUUCAAGGAAAUACGGUAGUCAUCUCCCGUUGAAAUGAAGCGCAGACUUGUAUUUUAACAUCAGAAGCCGUGGCCGUUAAAGUUGGCCCCUUUGUUCCAAGCUACAUCACUUGACUUGAUGUCAGAGGAUCGUAGUUGCUAGGAGACGUAGAGUCGUGCUCAGUUACGACUCGUAGGACAGGGGGACACUUACGUGUAGAAUUUUAGAAGUUAACGCUAAAAGUUUACAGUGUGUUGCCAAGUGUUUUUAGUCCCCUUAUAAUGUGCUAACAGUGUUGUGGAAGGGGGCGUGGCCUGUGGGCCAGCCCCGGAAUGGGGUUUGCUAAAACCGGCCGUGAAGACAGCGACAGAAGCGUUGAUGGCCCAGGUGGGCCUUAUCUAAUCACCUGUCACCUUUAUUAGCAGCAGCCGGCAGGAGACACGAGGCUGGAGCUAAAGUUAAAGUGCCAAUGAUUGUCACACACACACUAGGUGUGGUGAAAUUUGUCCUCUGCAUUUGACCCAUCCCCUUGAUCACCCCCUGGGAAGUGAGGGGAGCAGUGGCCAGCAGUGGUGCCACGCCCAGGAAUCAUUUAUGGUGAUUUAACCCCCAAUUUCAACCUUUGAUGUUGAGUGCCAAGCAGGGAGGUAAUGGGUCCCAUUUUUUUAUAGUCUUUGGUAUGACUCGGCCGGGGUUUGAACUCCCAACCUGCCGAUCUCAGGGUGCUGGAGCAAGAGCGAGAGUGACGGACAGGAAAAAGACAGUUUGCUGGAAAGCAUAAAACCCCUGCACAAAUUUAUGAAAAUGUGUAACAACCCUGAUCCGGGCUCACGUGGCAGUAUUUGGUAGUCUGAGGAACCCACGGGAGCACAACCUCGCCAAAUUGUGGAGGUUGCCCUUUCCAGCAAACUGUCUGUUUCCUGUCCCGUCUUUCUCGUUCUCGCUCCAACCAUCUGUCUCCUCCCAGCAGCUGCUAAUAAAGACGACAGGUGAUUAGACAGACAACAAGACCCACCUGGGCCAUCUACGCAACUGUCGCCUGCAGGCCACGCCCCCUCCACAAGUGUACAAUAUGCUUGCCGUUUACGACGUACAGCAGGGAAGGGAUUCAUGUGGCCCCAUUCCUGGGUGGUUCUCGCUUGAGAGGAAGGUGAGGGGGUUACAGUAUAUUCCGGACUAUAGACCGCACCUCUAUAUAGGCCGCGUCCACUAGAUUUUACAGCAAAAAAUAUUUUUCCAUAUAUUAGCCGCAGAUAUAUACGUCGCAGUAUAAGUUAUUUACACAGAAAGAUUCUGUAAAUGUUUCCAAAACGGACCUAAAUUAUAAUAAUACUAACACAGAAACCUGUAAACGUGUUAGCAUAUCCGCUAAUGCUAAAGACGCUAGCGUCAUUACAUUACAAUAGCACGUACAAAUAUGCAUGAAAACCCUCCUACAGACGUCACACAUGGGACGGUUUAAGAAAGCAUCAACAGUUUCGGUUAUAUUGGAAAACUCACGAACGUGAAUGCAGUAUCCAUACGAGUAGAAACGCUAUGGAUGGCUAGUAGACUGAACGGUACUCUACUUCCAGUUGAAAUUAUUAAAUGGAAGGACACUGCAGCACCUUGCAGUGAUUUGAUUAACGUGGACCCCGACUUAAACAAGUUGAAAAACUUAUUCGGGUGUUACCAUUUAGUGGUCAAUUGUACGGAAUAUGUGCGAUCUACUAAUAAAAGUUUCAAUCAAUCAAUCGAGCGUACUCGUCCAAAAGAUGGCACCAUUCUCAGUGUAUUUGCCUGUUUUUUAAAAAAAAAAACAAUUUUUAUUAUGUAUGUCAGCAAAGAAAAAAUACAUGAAUCAGCCACACCGAUUUAUAAGCCGCAGGGUUCAAAGCGUAGGAAAAAAAUCGCGGCUUAUAGUGCGGAAUUUACGGGAAUAAUCUCGCAAUUCCGUCUGGUGAAAAUGAUGGAAAGUGCCACUCUACAUGGUCAAAGUUAGUUGCCACAAAAUACAUUUGAAGAUAUUUAUCAGGUGCAUGUCACGCUUCAUGUGUCAGGUAAAGCAGAAUGAUUGUGGCCAUAGGAAUCCCCUUCCUACUGUAACGACGUCGUCAAAAUUAGCCUUUCACAUUCAAUUUCUUGAGUACGGUUGAUAUAAUUUGGAUUUUAAAUUUGUUUUCGUAUACAUUGAAGAAAAAUCCUAUUUAUAUAACGGGGCCAUUCUACCGAGUCGGUGCCAUUUGCCGGUUGCAUCUCUCUCAGAAUAAACGUGAUUUUUCUGCAGACUUUAAAUUUAUAGAAAGCUCCUCAGUCCAAGACAUUACAGUAAUUCAGUGAAACAUUAUAUUUCAACAAACAACAUCAAAACCACUAUAAAGUAAAAUAUGAACACAUGAGUGUACUUAGCAUUGGGGUUCCCUUGGACUACAGAGGACCUGGAUGAUGCAACUUCCUGUGACUUGAUUUUUCAGAGGGAGUAAUAAUAAUAAUACAUAUUUUCUGUUAUGCAGAAAAAGACACUAAAUCAGGGGUGUCAAACGUAUAAAAACAGUUUUAUCCGGCCCGCGGGAUGAGUAUAACAAUCGGUCGACAUUUUAGAAUGAAAUAGUGUUGUUCUAAAUGUGUCCACUGGGUGUCGCAAUAGCAAUUUUUUGUAUCUUUGUAGAUGAUGCUAAAUAUGUAAAAAAAAAAGUUAAAAUAAACCACAUGAUGUUAGGAAAAUGUGCAAAGCCGUAAUUAGAUUUUGAUAUUAUUAUUUUUAUUUUGAUGGAUUGAAAAUUAACACCAAUGAGUCGACUGAUGAACAUUAUCACAUGAUUUAUUCAGAAAGUAUAAAUAAUAGGGGUGUGGGAAAAAAUCGAUUCGAAUACGUUAGAAUCGAUCCUCAUUUAUAAAAAAUCGAUUUUUUUUUUUUUUUUUUUUAUCAAUCCAACAAAACACUACACAGCAAUACCAUAACAAUGCAAUCCGAUUCCAAAACCGAACCUGACCCAGCAACACUCAGAAUUGCAAUAAACAGAGCAAUUGAGAGGAGACACAAACACCACACAGAACAGACCAAAAGUAGUGAAACAAAAAUGAAUAUUAUCAACAACAGUAUCAAUAUUAGUUAUAAUUUCAGCAUAGCAGUGAGUAAAAAUCCCUCAUUGACAUCAUUAGACAUUUAUAAAAAUAAAAAAAAUAACAAUAGUGUCACAGUGGCUUACACUUGCAUCACAUCUCAUAAGCUGGACAACACACUGUGUCCAAUGUUUUCACAAAGAUAAAAUAAGUCAUAUUUUUGGUUCGUUUAAUAGUUAAAACAAAUUUACAUUAUUGCAUUCAAUUGAUAAAACAUUGUCCUUUACAAUUAUAAAAUCUUUUUUUUUUUUUUAAAUCUACUACUCUGCUAGCAUGUUAGCAGACUGGGGUAGAUCCUGCUGAAAUCUGUCUUGAAUGAAUACGGAAUCGUUUUGAAUCGGAAAAAUUUAAAUAUUAUCGAAUCGUGACCCCAAUAAUCGAUAUUGAAUCGAAUCGUAGGACACCCAAAGAUUCACAGCCCUAAUAAAUAAUACCAAAUAAAAAUAUAACACAAACAUGUAAGUGUAAAAAAAAACACAACAACAUUAUGAUUUGUACAUUUUCAGAAUGUGCUUAUUCUAUUUUUAAACAAAGAAAACAAUCUGAAGUUGUCUUUAUUUUUAAGUUAUCGUGCCGUGAUUUUACCAGUCCGGUCCAUUUUUCUCCAUGUGGCCCCCCAUCUAAAAUGAGUUUGACACCCCUGAUCUAAAAAAAAUAACAGAGCAUAUGACGCCAAAACGGCAAUUGCAACAUAAAGACAAUAUUAUCACAUAAAUUAUUCAGAAAGUAUAAAUAACGACAAAAAAAAGAUAGCAUAAAAUUAACCGCAACAUGUAAGUGUAAAUAACCCCGACAAAAUUAUGAUUUGUACAUUUUCAGAAUGUGCUUAUUCUAUUUUCAAACAAAGAAAACAAUCUGAAGUUGUCUUUAUUUUUAAGUUAUCGUGCCGUGAUUUUACCAGUCCGGCCCACUUGGGAGUAAUUUUUUCUCCAUAUUAUCCCAUAAAUUAUUCAGAAAGUAUAAAUAACGACAAAAAAAAGAUAGCAUAGAAUUAACCGCAAAAUGUAAGUGUAAAUAAUCCCGACAAAAUUAUUUUCAAACAAAGAAAACAAUCUGAAGUUGUCUUUAUUUUUAAGUUAUCGUGCCGUGAUUUUGCCAGUCCGGUCCAUUUUUCUCCAUGUGGCCACCCCAUCUAAAAUGAGUUUGACACCCCUGAUCUAAACAAAUAACAGAGCAUAUGACGCCAAAAGGGCAAUUGCAACAUAAAGACAAUAUUAUCACAUAAAUCAUUCAGAAAGUAUAAAUAACGACAAAAAAAAGAUAGCGUAGAAUUAACCGCAACAUGUAAGUGUAAAUAACCCCGACAAAAUUAUGAUUUGGACAUUUUCAGAAUGUGCUUAUUCUAUUUUUAAACAAAGAAAACAAUCUGAAGUUGUCUUUAUUUUUAAGUUAUCGUGCCGUGAUUUUACCAGUCCGGUCCACUCGAGAGUAGAUUUUUCUCCAUGUGGCCCCCCCCAUUUAAAAUGAGUUUGACACCCCUGAUCUAAACAAAUAACAGAGCAUAUGACGCCAAAACGGCAAUUGCAACAUAAAGGUAAUAUCAUUAAAAUUAUUCAGAAAGUAUAAAUAACGACAAAAAAAAGAUAGCAUAGAAUUAACCGCAACAUGUAAGUGUAAAUAACCCCGACAAAAUUAUGAUUUGGACAUUUUCAGAAUGUGCUUAUUCUAUUUUUAAACAAAGAAAACAAUCUGAAGUUGUCUUUAUUUUUAAGUUAUCGUGCCGUGAUUUUACCAGUCCGGUCCACUUGGGAGUAGAUUUUUCUCCAUGUGGCCCCCCCCAUCUAAAAUGAGUUUGACACCCCUGAUCCAAACAAAUAACAGAGCAUAUGACGCCAAAACGGCAAUUGCAACAUAAAGAUAAUAUUAUCACAUAAAUUAUUCAGAAAGUAUAAAUAACGACAAAAAAAAAAGAUAGCGUAGAAUUAACCGCAACAUGUAAGUGUAAAUAACCCCGACAAAAUUAAGAUUUUUACACUUUCAGAAUGUGCUUGUUCUAUUUUUAAACAAAGAAAAAAAUCUGAAGUUGUCUUUAUUUUUAAGUUAUCGUGCCGUGAUUUUACCAGUCCGGUCCAUUUUUCUCCAUGUGGCCCCCCAUCUAAAAUGAGUUUGACACCCCUGAUCCAAACAAAUAACAGAGCAUAUGACGCCAAAACGGCAAUUGCAACAUAAAGGUAAUAUCAUUAAAAUUUUUCAGAAAGUAUAAAUAACAACAAAAAAAAGAUAGCGUAGAAUUAACCGCAACAUGUAAGUGUAAAUAACCCCGACAAAAUUAUGAUUUGUACAUUUUCAGAAUGUGCUUAUUCUAUUUUUAAACAAAGAAAACAAUCUGAAGUUGUCUUUAUUUUUAAGUUAUCGUGCCGUGAUUUUACCAGUCCGGUCCACUUGGGAGUAGAUUUUUCUCCAUGUGGCCCCCCCCAUCUAAAAUGAGUUUGACACCCCUGAUCCAAACAAAUAACAGAGCAUAUGACGCCAAAACGGCAAUUGCAACAUAAAGAUAAUAUUAUCACAUAAAUUAUUCAGAAAGUAUAAAUAACGACAAAAAAAAAAGAUAGCGUAGAAUUAACCGCAACAUGUAAGUGUAAAUAACCCCGACAAAAUUAAGAUUUUUACACUUUCAGAAUGUGCUUGUUCUAUUUUUAAACAAAGAAAAAAAUCUGAAGUUGUCUUUAUUUUUAAGUUAUCGUGCCGUGAUUUUACCAGUCCGGUCCAUUUUUCUCCAUGUGGCCCCCCAUCUAAAAUGAGUUUGACACCCCUGAUCCAAACAAAUAACAGAGCAUAUGACGCCAAAACGGCAAUUGCAACAUAAAGGUAAUAUCAUUAAAAUUUUUCAGAAAGUAUAAAUAACAACAAAAAAAAGAUAGCGUAGAAUUAACCGCAACAUGUAAGUGUAAAUAACCCCGACAAAAUUAUGAUUUGUACAUUUUCAGAAUGUGCUUAUUCUAUUUUUAAACAAAGAAAACAAUCUGAAGUUGUCUUUAUUUUUAAGUUAUCGUGCCGUGAUUUUACCAGUCCAGUCCACUUGGGACUAGAUUUUUCUCCAUGUGGCCCCCCAUCUAAAAUGAGUUUGACACCCCUGAUCCAAACAAAUAACAGAGCAUAUGACGCCAAAACGGCAAUUGCAACAUAAAGACAAUAUUAUCACAUAAAUUAUUCAGAAAGUAUAAAUAACAACAAAAAAAAGAUAGCAUAAAAUUAACCGCAACAUGUAAGUGUAAAUAACCCCGACAAAAUUAAGAUUUUUACACUUUCAGAAUGUGCUUAUUCUAUUUUUAAACAAAGAAAACAAUCUGAAGUUGUCUUUAUUUUUAAGUUAUCGCGCCGUGAUUUUACCAGUCCGGUCCACUUGGGAGUAGAUUUUUCUCCAUAUUAUCCCAUAAAUUAUUCAGAAAGUAUAAAUAACGACAAAAAAAAGAUAGCAUAGAAUUAACCGCAAAAUGUAAGUGUAAAUAAUCCCGACAAAAUUAUUUUCAAACAAAGAAAACAAUCUGAAGUUGUCUUUAUUUUUAAGUUAUCGUGCCGUGAUUUUGCCAGUCCGGUCCAUUUUUCUCCAUGUGCCCCCCCCAUCUAAAAUGAGUUUGACACCCCUGAUCCAAACAAAUAACAGAGCAUAUGACGCCAAAACGGCAAUUGCAACAUAAAGACAAUAUUAUCACAUAAAUUAUUCAGAAAGUAUAAAUAACGCCAAAAAAAAAAGAUAGCGUAGAAUUAACCGCAACAUGUAAGUGUAAAUAACCCCGACAAAAUUAUGAUUUGUACAUUUUCAGAAUGUGCUUAUUCUAUUUUUAAACAAAGAAAACAAUCUGAAGUUGUCUUUAUUUUCAAGUUAUCGUGCCGUGAUUUUACCAGUCCGGCCCACUUGAGAGUAGAUUUUUCUCCAUGUGGCCCCCCAUCUAAAAUGAGUUUGACACCCCUGCACUAAAUAGUAUAAUUUGUCUAUAAAAUUUGUUAUAAGUACAGCUCCGCAUAUAACAUCGUAUCUUUAUCAAAGAAAACAAAAAAAAGACAAAAUAAAUAGAUGAACUAACCGCAAUAAUAAAUUUAUUAACAUUGUUUUUUUGGAGUCUAACAGAAAAUAUUUAUUGUGUAUCAAUUUGCCUGAAAUUUUAAAAAGCGUCCUUAUUUAAAACAUUAAAAAAAUAUGAUUGACUUCAACCACUUGAAACUGCAACAUAAAUGUAAAUACACUCAAUAAAUACUAAUGAGUUAACAUUGAUCAGCAGCUUUAACUGAGGAACAUAAUAAAUACAAGACUUUAAAGACCUACUGAAAGCCACUACUAGCGACCACACAGUCUGAUAGUUUAUAUAUCAAUGAUGAAAUAUUAACAUUGCAACACAUGCCAAUACGGCCUUUUUACUUUACUAAAUUGCAAUUUUAAAUUGACGUCACGGAUUGUAGCGGACAUUUUGAUCCAGCACCGAUCGCAGCUAUAAGUCGUCUGCUUUAAUCGCAUAAUUACACAGUAUUCUGGACAUCUGUGUUGCUAAAUCUUUUGCAAUUUGUUCAUUUAAUAAUGGAGACGUCAAAGAAGAAAGAUGUAGGUGGGAAGCGGUGUAUUGCGGCCGCCUUUAGCAACACAAAAACAGCUGGUGUUUCCUUGUUUACAUUCGCCUCUUACCGUAGACAUGAGCGGAGAGCUUGCGUCGUUCCUCUUGCCUCCUCCCACCGGCCGCCCCCGACCGUCGGAUGCUUACACCGUAUAGUAGGGGGGGGAAAGAAUCUCAACCCGGCUGCCUUGCCUCGUCGAAAAAACGUGGCUUCCCUCGGCGACCUUGAAUUGAUUAACGUGGACCCCGACUUAAACAAGUUGAAAAAUGUAUUCGGGUGUUACCAUUUAGUGGUCAAUUGUACGGAAUAUGUACUGAACUGUGCAAUCUGCUAAUAAAAGUAUCAAUCAAUCAAUCAAAGACACUGCCGGUCACCACACCCGUGGCCACACCCCUCCGACUUUCAGGUACGACCAUAUAAUCUCUUCCGAGGAUGUUGUAGUCGUAAUGAUUUGUGCAGUCCUUUGAGACAUUUGUGAUUUGGGGCUAUAUAAAUAAACAUUGAUUGAUUGAUUGAAAACACUAGUAACACAAUAAGCAGAUAAGGGAUUUUCCAGAAUUAUCCUAGUAAAUGUGUCUAAGAACAUCUGAAUUUUUUUUUUCUUCUAGUCCUUCACUCUUACUUUCCUCAUCCACGAAUCUUUCAACCUCGCUUAAAUUAAUGUGGAAAUCGUCGCUUUCUCGGUUCGAAUCGCUCUCGCUGCUGGUGGCCAUGAUUGUAAACAGUGUGAGAAUGUGAGGAGCCCUACAACCCGUGACAUCACACGCACAUCGUCUGCUACUUCCGGUAAAGUCAAGGCUUUUUUAUUAGCGACCAAAAGUUGCAAACUUUAUCGUGGAUGUUCUCUACUAAAUCCUUUCAGCAAAAAUAUGGCAAUAUCGCGAAAUGAUCAAGUAUGACACAUAAAAUUCGUUUAAAUAAGAGCAUCUCAUUUCAGUAGGCUUUUAAUCUAAUAAACAAACUUGAUUAAAACAAUUUGUGCUGAUUUUUGAUACAAAUAAAGAUGUAGUCAGGAUUAAUGCCAACAAUGAGCAUGUUUUUUCGUACCGCCCCGCUAUUUCAAAAAGGAACAUGCUAUAGUAACCCAUAAAAUGUUGUAUGUAAUAAUAAUUCUUUGAAAAUCGGUAGGAUUUCAAAUAUUUUAUUGUGAAGUCUAAUUUUAGGAAUCGGGACGGGAAAUAAAUGCUAUAUUUUGCAGUGUUCAAGGUUUAAAUUCGUCUUUGAAAUUGCAUUUAUUAAAUAUAAAAUCCGAUUUAUUUGCAGGACACUUUGCUUAGGUAAAAAAAUGAUUAAACAUAUAAACAUUGAGAGUGCAUCGUAUAUUUCCAGUUGUUUAACCACAGCAUGUCCGAAAAGGUGUAGGAAGAAGCAGAGCUGAUUUAAUCCCACUCCUUUUCAUAUCAUAGUAAGCGGAUCAAUGCAGUAAUCCCGUAUUUUUCGGACUAUAAAAUGCACUUAAAAUCCUUUCGUUUUUUCAAAAAUCGACAGUGAGCCCUUAUAACCAGCUGUGCAUAAUGUACGGCAUAAUUCUGGUUGUGCUUACCGACCUCGAAGCAAUUUUAUUUGGUACAUGGUGUAAUGUAAAGUGUGACCAGUAGAUGGCAGUCACACAUGAGAGAUACGUGGAGACUGCAAUAUGAUCGCAGUAAACAACACCAACACUUUAAAUGUUCCAUUGAGAGUAUAGAAAAUUACACACGGCGCUCAAAAAUCUAUCAAAAAUGUUUUUUAGUACGACUUCGGUAAACUAUGAUGGAUUGUCGGCGCAUUAAACUUUUAUGAAUCGGGACGGAAAAUAAAAUGCUAUAUUUUGCUAUAUUUCAUCUUUGAAAUUGCAUUUAUUAAAUAUAAAUCAGAUUUAUUUGCAGGACACUUGGCUUAGUUAAAAAAUAAUUUGACGGUUCAUUUAAUCUUGCGGACGCAAAUGGCACCGAUGCGUUUGAAAGGCCCGUCAGUAUUUUAAUUCGUUUUUUCUCCUUCUAAAAAACUUGGGGCUUUACAUGUUUCAUCUCCAUCUUGUUUUCGGGUCAGAUAUCCAUAUUAGAUUGCAUCAAAAUGUAGUGUACUCCUUUGUAAAUAAAAAUAAUAAUGAUAAAAGUCCAUCCAUCCAUCCAUCUUCUUCCGCUUAUCCGAGGUCGGGUCGCGGGGGCAGCAGCCUAAGCAGGGAAGCCCAGACUUCCCUUUCCCCAGCCACUUCGUCUAGCUCUUCCCGGGGGAUCCCGAGGCGUUCCCAGGCCAGCCGGGAGACAUAGUCUUCCCAACGUGUCCUGGGUCUUCCCCGUGGCCUCCUACCGGUUGGACGUGCCCUAAACACCUCCCUAGGGAGGCGUUCGGGUGGCAUCCUGACCAGAUGCCCGAACCACCUCAUCUGGCUCCUCUCCAUGUGGAGGAGCAGCGGCUUUACUUUGAGUUCCUCCCGGAUGGCAGAGCUUCUCACUUAUCCUUUCGGUCAUGACCCAAAGCUCAUGACCAUAGGUGAGGAUGGGAACGUGGAUCGACCGGUAAAUUGAGAGCUUUUCCUUCCGGCUCAGCUCCUUCUUCACCACAACGGAUCGAUACAGCGUCCGCAUUACUGAAGACGCCGCACCGAUCCGCCUGUCGAUCUCACGAUCCACUCUUCCCUCACUCGUGAACAAGACUCCUAGGUACUUGAACUAUGAAAGAAAUAUUCAUGAGUAUUGCAGGUUUUUAUACCAACAACGCCUGAACGUGCUUUUCUUCCAUCGAUUAGACGUGAAAGAAACUAAGAAAGUGCAGUUUGACUUCUUUUUACAACACGAUGGUUCAUUUGGGAUGAUUGUAGGCUGUGUGCAUGCAGGUGGUAGCAACAUUCAUGCAUGCCAGUCCUUAAACGCAGCAUGCCGGUCCUUAAACGCACCACGCCACUCGUGAUCAAGUUCAACCUCCGGAUGUACAAGUGGGUCGAACUUCAAAAGUCUUACCGUCUCACGGUCAGUAUUUUUAAAAUAUUUUUGUGGACAGUUGGUCAGAUAUUUCCCGGGGCAGUUAGUUGAUCUGCCCCCAGCACUGUGCGUUUCAGAAAUAAUAUAUUUCAAUUAAUUCAGAAAAUGUUUUCCGUGUUUAAAAAUAAUGUCCGGCAACUCCAAAACACUUUGAAAUCAUGACAAAUUGUGUUUCUAGGCAGAAAAGGAGGUGAUUGUGCUGAACCGACUUAAUAUCUUCAUGUUCAACUGACAAAUGCAAUUUCAUGGAAGCGAAUGACAAAAAAAAAACAGACUAAUUUCUGCUGACAAAACACUUUUUGACUUAAACGAAACUUUUAGUCGCUCGACCAGCGGGACCACUCCCUCGCCAACGUCACGUUAUGGUGGUUUACGUCCUAAUCUUAAAUGUUUAUGUAGUUUUCGUUGCUCUUUUUCGUGAUCUAGCCGGCUUUAUCCUUGCACUGCCGUGCGAGAAUGUUUUUAAAACUGCUUUCCCACGAUGCAUUGUGGUAUGUCAAUGCGUUUUCUUUAGUUUCAUGACUAUUUUACAUUGUAGAUUGUCACUGGAGGCAUCAAAACUGUGAAAGUGAAAAGUGAAGAGAAUUAUAUUUUAUAUAGCGCUUUUCUCUAGUAACUCAAAGCGCUUUACAUAGUGAAACCCAAUAUCUAAGUUACAUUUAAACCAGUGUGGGUGGCACUGGGAGCAGGUGGGUAAAGUGUCUUGCCCAAGGACACAACAGCAGUGACUUGGAUGACAGAAGCAGGGAUUGAACCUGAAACCCUCAAGUUGCUGGCACGGCCACUCUACCAACCGAGCUAUACCGCCCUAUACCGAAAACCAUUUCAGGUGACUACCUCUUGAAGCUCAUGGAGAGAAUGCCAAAAGUGUGCAAAGCAGUCAUCAGAGCAAAGGGUGACUAUUUUAGAUAAACUAGAAUAUAAAACAUGUUUUGAGUUAUUUCACAUUUUUUUGUUAAGUACAUAACUCCACAGGUGUUCAUUCAUAGUUUUGAUGCCUUCAGUGACUAUCUACAAUGUAAAUAGUCAUGAAAAUAGAGAAAACCUAUUGAAUGAGAAGAAAGUGUGUCCAAACUUUUGUACUGUACUGUAUGUACAGUACAGUACAAAAGUUGCCUACCCCUGCAUUAGUGGAUAAGCGGAAAAUGAGUGAAAGCGACAGAAACGUCGCCAUGGAGACGAUGGUUUUCUUACUUGCCUUACUUUAUUCCACAAAGUACCAUCUCAGAAAACACUUAAUGACCAACGAUGAAACACAGCGCAGUAGGCCUAAGGUUUCAUUAAAAAGCUAAAAAGUAUAUUUAAAAGCCUACUGAAAGCCACUACUAGCGACCACGCAGUCUGAUAGUUUAUAUAUCAAUGAUGAAAUAUCAACAUUGCAACACAUGACAAUACGGUCUUUUUAGUUUCCUAAAUUGCAAUUUUACAUUUCCCGGGAGUUUCUUCUUAAAAACAUUGUGACGUCACGGACUGUUAGGAAAUAUUAGCGCUGCACACACACACAGCUAAAAGUCGUCUGCUUUAAUCGCAUAAUUACACAGUAUUUUGGACAUCUGUGUUGCUGAAUCUUUUGCAAUUUGUUCAAUUAAUAAUGGAGAAGUCAAAGUAGAAAGAUGGAGUUGGGAAGCUUUAGCCUUUAGCCACACAAACACACGGUGAUUCCUUGUUUAAAAUUCCCGGAGGUGAAACUUUACUAUGGAUCCCGACCGAAUGUCAGCCAGCAGGUUUCGGUGAGAAAAUUGUGGUAAAAAGUCGCCUCUUACCGGAGAUCAGCUGAGCUUACGCCGUCCAUAAAGCUGCCGUCGACAUCCCUGAGACACUGGCGUCACACACACACCUCCGACUAUCAGGUACUGUUAAACUCACUAAAACACUAGCAACACAAUAGAAAGAUAAGGGAUUUCACAGAAUUAUCCUAGUAAAUGUGUCUAAAAACAUCAGAAUUCGUCUCAAUGCAAACGUGUUUUUGUUUUUUUAACUUUUUUUUUUUCUAGUCCUUCGCUAUCAAUAUCCUCAAAACACAAAUCUUUCAUCCUCGCUCAAAUUAAUGUUUAAAUUGUCGUUUUCUCGGUCCGAAUAGCUCUUCUUGUUGGAGGCUCCCAUUAAAAACAAUGUGAGGAUAUGAGGAGCCAUCAACGGGUGACAUCAUCAUCUGCUACUUUCGGUAAAGGCAGGGCUUUUCUGUUAGCGACCAAAAGUUGCAAACUUUAUCAUCGAUGUUCUCUACUAAAUCCUUUCAGCAAAAAUAUGGCAAUAUCGCGAAAUGAUCAAGUAUGACACAUAGAAUGGACCUGCUAUCCCCGUUUAAAUAAGAACAUCUCAUUUCAGUAGGCUUUUUAGAAGCACCACCCCGCUAUAGAGAAAAAAUUAACAGUUUUUUAGUUGGAACUUCUGAUGCAGAAUACUGUGUAAUUAUGCGAUUAAAGCAGACUACUUAUAGCUUGGAUCGGGCUGGAAAAUAAUGUCCGAUACAACCCGGGAUGUCAAACGCACGCGUCAUCAUACCGCGACGUUUUCAGCAGGAUAAUUCGCGCGGAAUUUAAAAUUGCAAUUUAGUAAACUAAAAAGGCCGUAUUGGCGUGUGUUGCAAUGUUAAUAUUUCAUCAUUGAUAUAUAAACUAAAACGCUGUUUCCUUGUUCAAAAUUCCUGAAGUUGAAGCUUUACUAUGAAUCAGAGCGGUCAAGCGAACGUGGAUUCCGACCACAUGUCAACAGUUUUCGGUGAGAAAAUUGUGGUAAUAAGUUGGCUCUUACCAGAGACAUCAGCGGAGCUUCCGUCCUCCUGCAGCUGCGUGAAUUCCCUCAGAGACACUGGCGUCAACACACCCGUGGCCACACCCCUCCGACUUUCACGUACUAUUUAAUCUCACUAAAACACUAGUAACACAAUAGGCAGAUAAGGGAUUUUCCAGAAUUCCAUCCAUCCAUCAUCUUCCGCUUAUCCGAGGUCGGGUCGCGGGGGCAGCAACCUAAGCAGGGAAGCCCAGACUUCCCUCUCCCCAGCCACUUCAUCUAGCUCUUCCCGGGGGAUCCCGAGGCGUUCCCAGGCCAGCCGGGAGACAUAGUCUUCCCAACGUGUCCUGGGUCUUCCCCGUGGCCUCCUACCAGCUGGACGUGCCCUAAACACCUCCCUAGGGAGGCGUUCGGGUGGCAUCCUGACCAGAUGCCCGAACCACCUCAUCUGGCUCCUCUCCAUGUGGAGGAGCAGCGGCUUUACUUUGAGUUCCUCCCGGAUGGCAGAGCUUCUCACCCUAUCUCUAAGGGAGAGACCUGGAAACUCAUUUGGGCCGCUUGUACCCGUGAUCUUAUCCUUUCGGUCAUGACCCAAAGCUCAUGACCAUAGGUGAGGAUGGGAACGUAGAUCGACCGGUAAAUUGAGAGCUUUGCCUUCCGGCUCAGCUCCUUCUUCACCACAACGGAUCGGUACAACGUCCGCAUUACUGAAGACGCCGCACCGAUCCGCCUGUCGAUCUCACGAUCCACUCUUCCCUCACUCGUGAACAAGACUCCUAGGUACUUGAACUCCUCCACUUGGGGCAGGGUCUCCUCCCCAACCCGGAGAUGGCAUUCCACCCUUUUCCGGGCGAGAACCAUGGACUCGGACUUGGAGGUGCUGAUUCUCAUUCCGGUCGCUUCACACUCGGCUGCGAAAUUGCAAUUUUUUUUUAUCGAUUUCUAAAAGUAAUGAUUAAAUUCAGAAAAAGGUUUAAUAAGAAUCGGGAUUCGGAUGUGAAUUGAUGUGGAAAAAACCCCACGGGAACCCAGAGCAAGGUGGUUGUAACCAAACUACGACACACCAGAUAUUUGAAGCUUUUUCUAAAAAAGUUGCAAUUACUUACCCUCGUCAACUAUUACAUUUAUUAAGGACUCAUGUAGUUACUAAUGCAGUUACUUUUGGGGAAAGUAACCGCCAUGUUUUCAACAGGAUACUUCCUUCGCGGGAAAUUUAAAAUUGCAAUUUAGUAAACUAAAAAGGCCGUAUUGGCAUGUGUUGCAAUGUUAAUAUUUCAUCAUUGAUAUAUAAACUAAAACGGUGUUUCCUUGUUCAAAAUUCCUGAAAUUGAAGCUUUACUAUGAAUCAGAGCGGUCAAGCGAACGUGGAUUCCGACCACAUGUCAACAGUUUUCGGUGAGAAAAUUGUGGUAAUAAGUUGGCUCUUACCGGAGACAUCAGCGGAGCUUCCGUCAGACUGUGUGGUCGCUAGUAGUGGCUUUCAGUAGGCCUUUAGAAGCUUUGUGGAAAAGGGAAGGCACAAUAAGAAGUUUCCAUUCUAGUUUCAUUUUGAAGGAAUUCAUCCUUGCAAAGUCCACCCAUCAUCCUCCGUAUUGAAUCCUUUUUGUUCUUUCAUUUGUCUUAUUCAACAGUCGCUAUAAACUCCAGAAAUGAUCUCGGAGAGUCGUAUGUAUGUUUAUGUUUUACAAUGUUUACAUGUAUUUUAGUCCUUUUUUUUUUUUUUAUCUCAAUGUGCUCAAUUAUGGCCAGAUACUGAUGAAGUGUGUUUAUUUCUUACAAUAUAUGCUCACAUUCUUGUAACUCAGUGGCGGUCCCGGCUUAAAUGGCGCCAUGUGCGAGCCCCCUUUGUCGUCGUUGUCGUCAUCUCAUCCGCGUCAUGUGAGCUGUGUUGAUGGUGCACUGAGCACAGAUGAAUAGGAAUGGGUUUUUUUCCCCUUUAUCCUUGCGGCGCCCCCUUUAGAAUACCCAAACCCGCGGCUGCAUGUACUCUCCGAGUACAUAAGACUGUAGUAGACCUCCAUACAGGAAGUCACCGCCCUCCACUGUGAGUUUAGAGAGGUGCUGUCAUCGUGUUGAAUGAGUCAAAAGUGCAAGAAACGCCUUAUCGCCAAACUCAAACAGUCACAUGAUCUCUUCCCAGCAGGCACGAGACAUUGAUUCAGCGUUGAUACGUACAUGUCCUUUAAAUCUGACUUCCAAAUAACGUUGGAAAUGUUUGUGUAUUGAUGUCUAACGUUGGAUGCCAAGUUGUUGGUUGGGAAAUGACCAACUUUUAACGGUUAAAUCAAGGUCACAACCUGAUUCUGAAUGGACAAUAAAUAAGUAUGUUGUUUCAACGUUGUAUUUGUGACUAUCGGUUGAAAAAUGACCACAAUUCAUGGUCAACUCAAGGUCACAACCAGACAUAGAUUAGACGUCGUAAAAAAAUAGGUUUUAAUGUUAGGUUUGUGUUGUAGAAUAUCGGUUGGGAAUUGACCACAUUUCUACCGUUAAAUCAAGGUCACAACCUGACAUUGAAUAAACAUUCAAAAGCAUGUUGUUUUUGUGACUAUUGGUUGAAAAAUGACCACAAUUCAUGGUCAACUCAAGGUCAUAACUUGACGGAUUAGACGUCGUAAAAAAGUAUGUUUCGAUGUUAGGUUUGUGUUGUAGAAUAUUGGUUGGGAAAUCACCAAAUUUCAACGGUUAAAUCAAGGUCACAACCUGACAUUGAAUAAACAUUCAAAAGCAUGUUGUUUUUGUGACUAUUGGUUGAAAAAUGACCACAAUUCAUGGUCAACUCAAGGUCACAACCUGACAUAGAUUAGACGUCGUAAAAAAGUAUGUUUCGAUGUUAGGUUUGUGUUGUAGAAUAUUGGUUGGGAAAUGACCAAAUUUCAACGGUUAAAUCAAGGUCACAACCUGACAUUGAAUAAACAUUCAAAAGCAUGUUGUUUCAACGUCGUAUUUGUGACUAUCGGUUGAAAAAUGACCACAAUUCAUGGUCAACUCAAGGUCACAACCUGACAUAGAUUAGACGUCGUAAAAAAGUAUGUUUCGAUGUUAGGUUUGUGUUGUAGAAUAUUGGUUGGGAAAUCACCAAAUUUCAACGGUUAAAUCAAGGUCACAACCUGAUAUUGAAUAAACAUUCAAAAGCAUGUUGUUUCAAUGUUGUUUUUGUGACUAUCGGUUGAAAAAUGACCACAAUUCAUGGUCAACUCAAGGUCACAACCUGACAUAGAUUAGACGUCGUAAAAAAAUAGGUUUUAAUGUUAGGUUUGUGUUGUAGAAUAUCGGUUGGGAAUUGACCACAUUUCUACCGUUAAAUCAAGGUCACAACCUGACAUUGAAUAAACAUUCAAAAGCAUGUUGUUUUUGUGACUAUUGGUUGAAAAAUGACCACAAUUCAUGGUCAACUCAAGGUCACAACCUGACAUAGAUUAGACGUCGUAAAAAAGUAGGUUUUAAUGUUAGGUUUGUGUUGUAGAAUAUUGGUUGGGAAUUGACCACAUUUCUACCGUUAAAUCAAGGUCACAACCUGACAUUGUAUAAACAUUCAAAAGCAUGUUGUUUCAAUGUUGUUUUUGUGACUAUCGGUUGAAAAAUGACCACAAUUCAUGGUCAACUCAAGGUCACAACCUGACAUAGAUUAGACGUCGUAAAAAAGUAGGUUUUAAUGUUAGGUUUGUGUUGUAGAAUAUUGGUUGGGAAAUCACCAAAUUUUAACGGUUAAAUCAAGGCCACAGCCUGACAUUGUAUAAACAUUCAAAAUAAUGUUGUUUCAAUGUUGUAUUUGUGACUAUUGGUUGAAAAAUGACCACAAUUCAUGGUCAACUCAAGGUCACAACCUGACACAGAUUAGACGUCGUAAAAAAGUAUGUUUCGAUGUUAGGUUUGUGUUGUAGAAUAUUGGUUGGGAAAUCACCAAAUUUCAACGGUUAAAUCAAGGUCACAACCUGACAUUGAAUAAACAUUCAAAAGCAUGUUGUUUCAAUGUUGUAUUUGUGACUAUUGGUUGAAAAAUGACCACAAUUCAUGGUCAACUCAAGGUCACAACCUGACAUUUAUUUAACAUCGCAAAAAAGCAUUUUUCAUUAGGUUAGUGUUGUAAAACAUUGGUUGAAAAAUGGCCAAAAUUCAAUGAUCAAACCAACGUCACAACCCAACGUAAAUUAAACGUCACCAAAAAGCAUGUUGUUUCAAUAUUAGGUUUGUGUUGGAGAAUAUUGAUUGAAAAAUGGCCAAAAUUCAAUGGUCAAACCAACGUCACAACCCAACGUUGAUUAAACGUCGCCAAAAAGUAGGUUUUAACGUUACGUUUGUGUUGGAGAACAUCGGUUAUAAAAUGACCAAAAUUCAAUGGUCAACUCAAGGUCACAACCUGACAUUGAUUAAACAUUGCAAAAAAUGAUGUUUCAACGUUAGGUUUGUGUUAUAGAUUAUGGGUUGGGAAAUGACCAAAUUUCAACAAUUAAAUCAACAUCACAACCUGACAUUGAAUAAACAUUCAAAACCAUGUUGUUUGUGUUGUAGAAUAUUGGUUGAAAAAUGACGAAAUUCAAUGGUCAACUCAAGGUCACAACCUGACAUUGAUUAAACAUCGCAAAGAAGCAUGUUUCGGUAGGUUUGUGUUGUAGAACAUCGGUUAUAAAACGACUAAAAUUCAACGGUCAACUCAAAGUCACAACCUGACAUUGAUUAAACAUCGCAAAAAAGCAUGUUUCGCUAGGUUUGUGUUGUAGAACAUUGGUUUAAAAAUGACCAAAACUCAAUGGUCAAACCAACGUCACAACCCAACGUUAAUUAAACGUUGCCAAAAAGCAUGUUGUUUAAAUGUUAGGUUUGUGUUGUAGAACAUUGGUUGAAAAAUGACGAAAUUCAAUGGUCAACUCAAGGUCACAACCUGAUAUUGAUUAAACAUUGCAAAAAAGCAUGUUUCGUUAGGUUUGUGUUGUAGAACAUCGGUCAUAAAACGACCAAAAUUCAAUGGUCAACUCAAAGUCACAACCUGACAUUGAUUAAACAUCGCAAAAAAGCAUGUUUCGUUAGGUUCGUGUUGUAGAAUAUUGGUUUAAAAAUGACCAAAACUUAAUGGUCAAACCAACGUCGGAUCCAACGUUAAUUAAACGGUGCCAAAAAGCAUGUUGUUUCAACGUUAGGUUUGUGUUGGAGAACAUCGGUUAUAAAAUGACCAAAAUUCAACGGUCAACUCAAGGUCACAACCCAACGUUGAUUUAAUGUCGCAAAAAAGCAUGUUUCGGUAGGUUUGUGUUGUAGAACGUUGGUUAUAAAACGACCAAAAUUCAACGGUCAACUCAAAGUCACAACCUGACAUUGAUUAAACAUCGCAAAAAAGCAUGUUUCGUUAGGUUUGUGUUGUAGAAUAUUGGUUUAAAAAUGACCAAAAUCCAAUGGUCCAACCAACGUCACAACCUGACAUUGAUUAAACAUUGCAAAAAAGUAUGUUGUUUCAACGUUAGGUUUGUGUUGUAGAUUAUGGGUUGGGAAAUGACCAAAUUUCAACAAUUAAAUCAACAUCACAACCUGACAUUGAAUAAACAUUCAAAAGCAUGUUUGUGUUGUGGAAUAUUGGUUGAAAAAAGACGAAAUUCAAUGGUCAACUCAAAGUCACAACCUGGCAUUGAUUAAACAUCGCAAAAAAGCAUGUUUCAUUAGGUUUGUGUUGUAGAACGUUGGUUAUAAAACGACUAAAAUUCAACGGUCAACUCAAAGUCACAACCUGACAUUGAUUAAACAUCGCAAAAAAGCAUGUUUCGUUAGGUUUGUGUUGUAGAAUAUUGGUUUAAAAAUGACCAAAACUCAAUGGUCAAACCAACGUCAGAUCCAACGUUAAUUGAACGUUGCCAAAAAGCAUGUUGUUUUAACGUUAGGUUUGUGUUGGAGAACAUCGGUUAUAAAAUGACCAAAAUUCAAUGGUCAACUCAAAGUCACAACCUGACAUUGAUUAAACAUCGCAAAAAAGCAUGUUUCAUUAGGUUUGUGUUGUAGAAUAUUGGUUUAAAAAUGACCAAAACUCAAUGGUCAAACCAACGUCACAACCCAACGUUAAUUAAACGUUGCCAAAAAGCAGGUUUCAAUGUUAGGUUUGUGUUGUAGAACAUUGGUUGGGAAAUGACCAAAAUUCAAUGGUCAAACCAACGUCACAACAUUGAUUAUGAUUAAACGUUGCCAAAAAGCAUGUUGCUCCAACGUUUUGUUCGAGUUUCUCAACGUCAGGACCUAAUCCAACAAGUUCCCAACGUUGUUUCAAUGUCUGCUGCCUGCCGGGUUGCUCUGCUUGUACGUGUAGACAGUAAGCCCACCUAGACAAUAAAGGAAGGAUUACGUUGUAUUCUGCAAAUGUUUGUUCUCUUCCCUCUUUAGGCUGAAACCUUUCAAACGAGUCUGAGCAACUUACCUUGUAAUUGAUUGUGUCAUUUGUACCUAAUGUAUGAUAAUGCAAAUAAAGAACUGAAAAUGGAGGUUCAUA